AAUAUUGGACAAUGGGCGCAAGCCUGAUCCAGCCAUGCCGCGUGAGUGAUGAAGGCCNNNGGGUUNUCAAGCUCUUUUGUCCGNGACNAUAAUGACGGUACCGGAAGAAUAAGCCCCGGCUAACUUCGUGCCAGCAGCCGCGGUAAUACGAAGGGGGCUAGCGUUGCUCGGAAUCACUGGGCGUAAAGGGCGCGUAGGCGGCUUUUUAAGUCGGGGGUGAAAGCCUGUGGCUCAACCACAGAAUUGCCUUCGAUACUGGAAAGCUUGAGACCGGAAGAGGACAGCGGAACUGCGAGUGUAGAGGUGAAAUUCGUAGAUAUUCGCAAGAACACCAGUGGCGAAGGCGGCUGUCAGGUCCGGUUCUGACGCUGAGGCGCGAAAGCGUGGGGAGCAAACAG
rnacentral:rRNA from 1 species